rnacentral:lncRNA from 1 species
UGAAAAAGCUGUGUUUUCAUAACACUAUUCUCAAUUCGUCUGUGGAAGCAGACCUGUAAAUGUCUUAUUCUUAGUAGGUUGUGAUCUAUUUUGUGACUUUUUUUAGACACACUGCUGACAGACUGGGAGAAGACAGAAUUUAAAUCCAUCAGCAAACACUAAUAGUUUAGAAUUUUAUUUAAAGAAAACAACUAGAUCAGGAUAGCUUACAAUUACAUAUAGAAUUAGUUCUCAGGCUUUGUUUCACAAUCGCAUUUCAACUUCUCAGUCUGCUUAUUUAACGAAAUACCCAUUUGUGCUUCUUGGGAAACUAAAAAACUUUAUCCAAGAACAUGAGUAGCACCGAAAUGAAGACAAAUAUAAAUUUCCAGAAAAUGAAUUAACCUUUUGUUUUUCUGUAGCCAAGAUGAAAUUGCUGCCGUUAUAUAUAAAGUGCCAUUAGCGGACAACUACCUGAAGAAUAUUGUCAAGCAAAUUUACCAAGAUCUACUUCAGGGCUGCCAUUUCUGCUGCUAGACCCAUGGACCACAGCUGUAACAACCAAGCAAGAAUUCACUUGAUAUUGUGUCAUGGUCUCUAUUGUCAUUUAACUUUACCUUUAGGUCAUAGUAAAAUUCCUUUUGAUGAUGUAAUAGUAAAUUUAUAUGGUCUGUUUUUAAAUCUGUACAAUUAGAAAUGAUAAAAGCUUUCAUAUAGCUUUGUCAGGAUGCUCGUCUUUAUACCGAAGGUAUAAUAGGGAACUUAGGGAAAUUUUCCCCUAACUAAAGUUGUGCUAUCUGCUUUAGUAUAACAAUAAGAAAUAACUUAAGAGGCAUUCACUGAUAAAACUAAGCUGUUCCCUAUGUAUAGAGCUAUUAGGUAGUCUGGCUUCUUCCUAGCAGAUAUUGCUAGAUUUAGAAAUAUGUCUGUCAACAGCUUGGUAUGGUGCUAUGCUUUUGUAAUCUCAGCUAUUCAGGAAGGUGAGGUGGGAGGAUCACUUGAACCCACAAGUUUAAGUCCAGCCUGAACAACAUAGCAAGAUCCUAUCUCAACAGCAACAAAAAAUAAACAUGUCUGUCUACAAACUAUUCAUCCUCCUUUUUCUCCAUUUCAGAAAUGAUAUGAAGAGAAAGCAUUAGCACUCUUGGACUGGUUGCUAUCUUUUCUUGGGGCCUUGCCCUUUAUUCUAUAGUGUCUAUUAAAAUUAAUUCAUUUUGACCAAGUACAUGUAUAUAAAUAUAUUAAUGUUGUUUUUGUUUGUGAUAUAAUGUUUGCCUUCUGCCUAAGUAUAUGAAGCAUUUUCAGCAAGAUUUUCAAUCUUCUUUUAUUAAAUAAUGAGAUUUAAAACUAUCAUAUCCAAAACUCUAGUUUCUGGUAGUAAUAGUAAACUUUCCUGAAGCCACACAGUCCUCAUACACAAAAAUUAGAAUAUCCAUUAUUAAAUGACCAGUAUUAUCUAUGAAAGAACAUUCACCCACACUUUAGUCAAAUCCGAAUCAUGAUAAUUUACAUUUUCUGUGUUGAAUUCUAAAUUAAAAUAUUUGUAUUUUUAAACAAAUUUGUGUUAACAUUUUGCUUUUUAAUUUAAGAGAAGGUUAAAGUCCUGUGGGUCUGUGUAUCUGUCCUCUUCAUUGGUUUUUUUUUUUACUUUUAAUCAAAAGAUUACCUGAUUUUUAGCUUCAAAAGUCAACAAAAAUGCUGUGCGUGGUAACAGAUACUGGUAAUCCUAGUGAUUUGGGAGGCUGAGGCAGGAGGAUUACAAAUUGGGGGCAGCCCCAACAUUGUAGCUUGGCUCUAAGCAACUUAAAAAGACUCUGUCUCAAAUAAAAAGGGUGGGAUGUGGAUCAGUGGUUAAGCCCCCUUGGGUUCAAUUCCCAGUAUCCCUACCCACAGAAAAAAACAACAAAGUCAAACAAAACUCAUCUGGCAUAAAAAUCAAGACAGAUGUUCCCUAUUUCCAUAAAUUUCUUUAAAAACUUUUAAAUUAUCAGUUUUUUUCUUAUUGGAGUUUUGUUUUUCCUGUAUGUCUAAUAAUUAGAAGUUUGUUUUAUUCAUUUUGGUAACUGCAACAACCCAUUCUAAGAAUGAUUUGACUUGUAAUGAUGAUCUCUGCUUUCUUGGGUUUCAAGUACAUAAUUAUAUUUAUGUAGGUAUUUGUGUUUUUCUUUGUUCGAACUUGGCUAUUUUCAUAAAAUUUUUUGUUUUACUGAUUUGAAAGCUGAUUGUUUUUGCACUAUUAAAAUAAGUUUAUUAUUUGAAA